rnacentral:tRNA from 1 species
AGCUUAGUUAAUGUUUAGUUUCGACCUAAACUAUGGGGUCUGCCCCCUGAGCUU